rnacentral:misc_RNA from 1 species
GAUGAAGAACGUAGCGAAAUGCGAUAAGUAGUGUGAAUUGGAGAAUUCAGUGAAUCAUCGAAUCUUUGAACGCACAUUGCGCCCUUUGGUAUUCCAAAGGGCAUGCCUGUUCGAGCGUCAUUUGUACCCUCAAGCUUUGCUUGGUGUUGGGCGUCUUGUCUCUAGCUUUGCUGGAGACUCGCCUUAAAGUAAUUGGCAGCCGGCCUACUGGUUUCGGAGCGCAGCACAAGUCGCACUCUCUAUCAGCAAAGGUCUAGCAUCCAUUAAGCCUUUUUUUUCAACUUUUGACCUCGGAUCAGGUAGGGAUACCCGCUGAACUUAAGCAUAUCAAUAAGCGGAGGA